AGCAUAUCAAUAAGCGGAGGAAAAGAAACUAACAAGGAUUCCCCUAGUAGCGGCGAGCGAAGCGGGAAGAGCUCAAAUUUAUAAUCUGGCACCUUCGGUGUCCGAGUUGUAAUCUCUAGAAAUGUUUUCCGCGUUGGACCGCACACAAGUCUGUUGGAAUACAGCGGCAUAGUGGUGAGACCCCCGUAUAUGGUGCGGACGCCCAGCGCUUUGUGAUACAUUUUCGAAGAGUCGAGUUGUUUGGGAAUGCAGCUCAAAUUGGGUGGUAAAUUCCAUCUAAAGCUAAAUAUUGGCGAGAGACCGAUAGCGAACAAGUACCGUGAGGGAAAGAUGAAAAGCACUUUGGAAAGAGAGUUAACAGUACGUGAAAUUGUUGGAAGGGAAACGCUUGAAGUCAGACUUGCUUGCCGAGCAAUCGGUUUGCAGGCCAGCAUCAGUUUUCCGGGAUGGAUAAUGGUAGAGAGAAGGUAGCAGUUUCGGCUGUGUUAUAGCUCUCUGCUGGAUACAUCUUGGGGGACUGAGGAACGCAGUGUGCCUUUGGCGGGGGUUUCGACCUCUUCACACUUAGGAUGCUGGUGGAAUGGCUUUAAACGACCCGUCUUGAAACACGGACCAAGGAGUCUAACAUGCUUGCGAGUAUUUGGGUGUCAAACCCGGAUGCGUAAUGAAAGUGAAUGGAGGUGGGAACCGCAAGGUGCACCAUCGACCGAUCUGGAUUUUUAAUGAUGGAUUUGAGUAAGAGCACGUAUGUUGGGACCCGAAAGAUGGUGAACUAUGCCUGAAUAGGGCGAAGCCAGAGGAAACUCUGGUGGAGGCUCGUAGCGGUUCUGACGUGCAAAUCGAUCGUCAAAUUUGGGUAUAGGGGCGAAAGACUAAUCGAACCAUCUAGUAGCUGGUUCCUGCGA
rnacentral:rRNA from 1 species